UUUUGUUCUACUCUUGAAACAAAAGGCUAUUUAAACAAAGUAACGUAUUGGAUUGCUGUAAAAUGUAAUCAAUGUAAAAAACGAAUGUUGUUGUAUAGAUUACAGAGUUCAAUGGAUCGAACGUUCGUUUUUCUCAUUGUAUGGUGUUUGAUAUGGAGUGAUGCUUAUGCUGCGUUUUCUAAAAUCUUUGGUACCCAAGAUAAGAAAAUAAUACAACAUGAUAACGGUGUGGAGUUUGAAGCAAUAUCCAGAGGUACCUUGCUGCAAAUCCUGUCAUCCCUCGACGAGAACGUCAGAUCGAGGAUGGAAGGAAAGCAACCCAUCUUCAGAGCAGACUUUGCGAACAACAAGCAUACAUAUCCAUUUAUUUACCCGCGUAUAAUAAAAAAAGUUUCUUUCUGA